rnacentral:rRNA from 1 species
CGCAAGCCUGACGGAGCAACGCCGCGUGAGGGAUGAAGGCCUCUGGGCUGUAAACCUCUUUUCUCAAGGAAGAAGAUCUGACGGUACUUGAGGAAUAAGCCACGGCUAAUUCCGUGCCAGCAGCCGCGGUAAUACGGGAGUGGCAAGCGUUAUCCGGAAUUAUUGUGCGUAAAGCGUCCGCAGGCGGCCUUGAAAGUCUGUCGUUAAAGCGUGGAGCUUAACUCCAUUUCGGCGGUGGAAACUACAAGGCUUGAGUGUGGUAGGGGCAGAGGGAAUUCCCGGUGUAGCGGUGAAAUGCGUAGAUAUCGGGAAGAACACCAGUGGCGAAGGCGCUCUGCUGGGCCAUAACUGACGCUCAUGGACGAAAGCCAGGGGAGCGAAAG